AUUUUUUUUUUUGAGAGAAUUCCUUCACUUUCUCUAUUCCAGAUUGAACAAAAAAAAGAUUGUUUCCCUGUUGUUGUAUGUCCCCAUAUUGAGCCCCCAUGUAACAUUGUCCACAUUCCAAUUGACAGGCCUUGAGAGGGGAAGGGGGAGGGGUGUUAAGUGUAGCACAUCGGUGGAGGGAUGGGUUGUUUGCUCUUUAUAUGAUCUCGGGCAAUCAAUUUCUUCACAUUUUGCAAGCCCGAAAACCUUAGGCUAGGUCAUUUAAAAGAAAUAUGAAGAUAACUCAUGUGAUAAUUCAAGUAUGCAAUUACUUAACGUGACUAUGCCUGAGUUUCUACGACUCUUACACAUAAGUGAUUACUUCAGUAAUAGUCCACAGUGUUCUACUUGUAAACUCUAGAGGUAAAAGCUUUAAAGGAUGCAUCCAUAGAUUUAGGAAUUAAGAGAGAAAUGCACAGGGUUUCAAAAGAUUCCAGAAUAUUUUAUUGAAACUAAUCUUUAUAAGUACAGUAUUGCCAACUACUUCUGUAAAUUGCAGAUUUUAAUGCCUGAAUAGCUAAGAAUUGAAUUAGAAUGAAUAAAUAACGGACAAUUUUGAACUAUUUGAUUACAGCUUUUUCCAAAAACCACUACCAAAACAUCUUGUAGUAUCGUUCUUCAAAUUUCUUACAUGUUGGUGGAAAUUUCUUGGCCUGCAGCUCCCCUUGGUAAGUUUUUGCCCUUUCCAUGUAUGAGAUUUGACAUUUACUAAAUUUUAUAUCAAGAAAUUUGUCGGAUGCAUACUUACUGGUUUGAUAAAGGGUGCACAUUUUUUGGAAUUGGAUUGUGUUGCUCGAAGUAUUAAUGAAACAAUUGUAUGGAUUCAGUUACUCUGUACUUUGUUAUUGAAACUGGUUGACAAGUUCCCAGUUGUGUGCUUAUGUAAUGAUUUACAUUUUAGCUUGUAAUUAUUUUUUUACUUUCUUUCCAGGCUUCUAGCUCUACUUUCUGUUAUUCUCAUUCCUCUAUAAAUAACCAUGACAUCAAGAUCCUUUCAACUUUAUUCAGAGGAGAUAACAACGUUCAUGCUUAACGCUGUUAUUUUUUUCAAAUUGUUGUGUAUAAGUUUAGUUCUUCCUUCUGCACAUUACUGUCAUUGGGCUCGUGUUGGCACGGGCUCCAACCAUCUAGUAUAUAUUAUAUAUACUCCACCCUUUUUUGCAUUUUGGAUAGGAUGUUAAUUGACCUCUUGUUUGUAAAAUAGAUGCAGAUUCAAUUGAAAUCAAGAAAAUUCGUGGAAAAGCCAGAAAAAGGGUCUUGAGAAUGGAAGUAAUCUAUGGAAAAAAAGAUGAUACAAGAGAUCCCAGUUGGUAAAAGAAGGUCGCCUAAGGAAAUUCCAUCAGCAAAGCACUAUCAAAUGAGUGGGGAAUAAUCGCUCGAAAUUUUGUUUCUCUUCAAACAAGUGGAAUGAACUCACAAGAGAGGAGAAAGAACAAUGAUUAGAUAUUGUAUUUUUCAAGACAGACUCAUUUUUGUCAUAGGAGAUAUUAGUUCGUCAUAAAUUGACUACAUUUGUGACAAAACAUAGUCUUUGUUCCUAAAUUGCCUUCUGAUCAAUAAUAUAAUUCAUUUUUU